rnacentral:rRNA from 1 species
UAGGGAAUUUUCGGCAAUGGGGGGAACCCUGACCGAGCAACGCCGCGUGAACGAAGAAGUUAUUCGUAAUGUAAAGUUCUUUUAUCAGGGAAGAAAAGAAGAGUAUUGACGGUACCUGAUGAAUAAGCUCCGGCUAACUACGUGCCAGCAGCCGCGGUAAUACGUAGGGAGCGAGCGUUAUCCGGAAUUAUUGGGCGUAAAGGGUGCGUAGAUGGGGAUAUAAGUCUCUUGUAAAAAUGCUAGGCUCAACCUAGUAGGGCAAGAGAUACUGUAGAUCUAGAGUAUGACAGAGGCAAGUGGAACUACAUGUGUAGCGGUAAAAUGCGUAAAUAUAUGUAAGAACACCGGUGGCGAAGGCGGCUUGCUGGGUCGAUACUGACAUUGAGGCACGAAAGCGUGGGGAGCAAACAGG